GGAAACUGACUCCUGACAACUGAUUUUGACUAUUUUUACUGUGCAUUUUAGGCUGAAAUAGAGUUUAUCAACUUUUCAAUUGCGCUCGUGGUUUUCUAUAGCAGAACAUUUUAGAAAGUAAUUAACGCGAAAUCAAACAGCACUGUACAUUACUACCUGCGCUGUGACAUCAUUGCGGUCAGUGCUGACAAGAAUUAGAUAGAUUUGAUAUUUUUCAGAAUUCCGAUAAACCGUUAUUUCCGUCAGUUGUAGGCGUUAGCAUAGUGGUUCAGGCAUAGAGGAACUGUAAUGCAUGGGUAUCUGGCGUCAGACUGUGAAGGUCGUGUACUAUCACAUUGUACCUGCAAGUCACGAGUAGUGGUACUGAUCUCUCAACCGUUCUCGUACAAUGGGCUGUGCAGAGAGUUCAGAAGAAAGUACGGAUAAAAGGGAGGCAACUCAGAGAUCGAAGAAGAUAGAUAAAGCUCUUAAAUUAGAAACAGAAAGUAAAACGACCAAGCUGGAGAUUGAGAUUCUCAUGCUAGGUUUUUAAUUUCUUAUUUGAUCCUGAUUUUAGAAACUAUGUAGCACCAGUUUUUUUCAGACUUUUCUAAAGAAAGUAUAAACUAAAUCAUGUUUUUCCCUUAUGCGUUUCAGUUUAGUCAUUCUCGUGUGUAAUGACGCUAUUAAAUUUCAGUAUGAAACACAAAGCUUGUUUGCUUUUAAAGAAUAGAUUAAACGUCAUUUUUCAACAUUUCAGUUAUAUAAUGGCGGUACUGGUUAGCUGCUAGUACCAGUGCAUAACUGACUUCACAACAUGAAUCAUGGGAGAAGACAAAUGACUAAAAAUCGAAGUACAUAUAUGUUAUCUAUCCAUGUCCUUUUUCUUUUGUCUUUUUCAGGUGAAAGAAGUUCUGGCAAAAGUGAACUGCUGAAACAGAUACAGAUAUUGUUUGGAAAGACAGAUGUUGCAAAACUGCGCGACAACCUGCAACCAAAUUCAGACAGACUGGAUAUAAUUUAUUUUGCAAGUGAUCACAUACAUUUUAAGACUUAUCACUGUGGAUGAUCCAUAUUCCUAUAUUCUUCGGGAAUUUAUGAAGCUGAACAACACGGACUCCCUCACUUAUGUACACUGUAUAGACAUUAAUGAUCCAGAGAAUGUAAGGUUUUUCGUCGCCGCAUUGAAGGAUAGUUUAUGCCUCAGAUCUCUUAAACGUCUGAGUUUAGUUUGAAUUUUUUUUUUGUUUUACAUCAGUUGUACUAUCUGACAAAUGUACAAGAUUGUACUCGUCACCACCUUGUUAGAAGAUUGCAUCAAGUUGAAUUAUUUACAAAACUGUGUAUACUUUCAAUCAAUUAUUAGCAACAAAAAGUGUAAAGUCUCACUCAGUUAUUUACAAAAAUGUGUAUGCUUUAUAUAUACGCAGUAAAAGACUAGGUUUUGGUCAUUAUAGUAAUUAACGGUAUGUUGUUAGGGCCAUCUCAGAGACGUUUCGUUUUGCUCGUGAUGGUACGAUAUCAGACCGUCGCGUGUAGCAUCGUACCAACACACUUCACUUUACGUAUUGCCAAAUUUUGAAAAAUUACUGUAUAUUAAAGCGUCUGAGGCACAUGUGAAAUAAUGCCUAACAUCUACAAAUCAACAAAUAAGUUUUAGCUAAUGUCUUUUGUCUUCUUAUUUUGUCUUCUUAUAAAAUAUUUAAAACAACAUCCCGAUGUGAAAUUCAUUGAUAUCAUGUCCAGAAAAAAUAAUAAACAGUUUUAAUACAGGCUUCCAUUAAUUUAGAUAAAAAUCCACCGGAGAUUUCUCAUCAGCGACAUGACACCCUAUUUAAUUAGGUUGUCCAUAGAAAACGCUCACUUAACUGAAAAGAACCUGACAUGAUCAUUGUCAUUGUCUACAUUUUUCCGAGUUGUUCUUGAUAUAAUUUGUGCAAAUCCGAAAUCGAGAAGAGUAACAUAUUUUCAGAAAAGCAUGUAGAUAAUUCCACAGAUAUAAUGAAAUCAAAUAAAAGACUGUAUGAAAAUUCAAAUGAGGGGCAACUCGUAGAAAACUUUAAUGAAAGUGUUGUACAGUGAAAACUCAGAAAAUUUGUUAAAAAUCGGUUAGCACAAAAAUUUAUAUACUUUAAAUAUAGAAACUACAAUAAGGAUAAAUUAUUCAAUAAGUUUAUGUUGCUAAAAUUUUAAAUAAUGAAAAAUCUUUUUUGUUUUCAUGACAGAUGUCAAGACAUUAUUAUUGUCUCAACUUUGACUAAUUUAUGCACUUUAAUAUUUGGUAGUCCAGAAUGUGCUUAAAGGCUUCUAAAAGUAUUUAUGAUUAGAUCUUUGUGUGAUCGUCUGAAUAAUUUAAAUGUUAAGACUUUCUAAUUAAUAAGGUGUUGAUUGCUGUCAAAACUUGUUAAUAUUUCAAAUACUUGUAAUUUUAUUACCAUGUACGUUUUCUUGAAUUUGAUUGGUUUAUACUGUUAAUUACAGUCACAAUACAGGGUCAUUUUAAUUGGUCAGUUAUUAUAUGUUGAGAGCGAAUAUAUUUCAAGAUAGCAGGUUCCAGGAGAAUAGAUUUGGAUUUCCAACUAGAAACCUUUGAAAUAAAUGACAGAGGUAUGGGCCUGUCUGUAUGAUAGUGGAUGGAUGUGGCGACUCAUUCUCAUGAGGCACUCUAGGUAUGAUGGCAGUGGGACUUCAACUAAACAGUUAACAAUUUUGUAAAUUUAAAAAGUAAUUAGUCUUGUCUCAAUGCGUCUAUCUUCAUUUGCCAUCCAAGUUCGUUUCUCAUAGAGGAAAGAAAUAUAAAAGUGUUACAGUAAAAGUAUAGAGUGUUAGAAUGCUACAGUGUUACAUAGAGGUUACACUGUCCUGAUAUAAAUAAUUAUUUUUAACCAAGCGGAUGGCUCUACGUUGGACUUUUUCAGUUUUAUAAAUAUUAUAGACCCUGCUGGGUGUAAGGGGACUAGACAAUUUGAACUGUUUCUGAAAUAUGUCCAUGAAAUAUAUAGUUAAACUUUAUUUUUUCCUUAUUUCUAGAAACGAUAUAUGAAAAAGAAAUAGUUCACAUAUACCUAUAACGCCCCUGUAGACUAUAACGACGUUGUAGUGUUAUUCGAUCAUUUGUAUUGUUAAACUCUUCACAUUGGAGGUUGAAAAUACGUCGCAUAGCAACCGCAGCGCUAAAACUUUGAAAGUCGGUCACAGUGGUAAAACAACAACUUGAAAUCUUUAAAUACUUGCACGAUGACAAGCAGAAUUGAAGAAAUUCUUAUCAACAGCCUUUAGCAAAAGAUAUCAAACAUAUCGACUAGCGGCGGUGGCAGAAGAUUUGUAGACCCUAUAUAUGUUUACAUUUGGGUUAACGGAUCAGUAUGCCUUUGAUGGCCCUUUUAGAGGACGUCAGUGCACAUCGAUGGCUCUUGCUGCUAUUAUUGUUUGGGUACAGAAAGGAAAGCCAUGUUUAUUGACCCCGGAACAGCUGAAUACAAUCCUGGUAGAAGGGAACAGACUCCACUCCUAGGUUACGGGUUGACCAGAAAUUAAGCGCCGAAUGCGAUGGAAUGAUCGCAAUUUACGACAUUCCAUCUUCACGGUACCUUGAAGUCGGGGAGGUCUGUGGCGUACCAACCAGGGUCAAACUGGCACAGGAGAGUUUUCCGGUCUUCACUACAAGGAGGCGGGACCUGGAUUUCCCAACUGUUGGGGAGUUCGUAGUAACAUACAGACCUGGGAUGUCCAUGGGUUUCUUAGUGACCAUUGACAGUUUCACCUACGCCAUUAUCCGUCGGGCCGAUAAUACUGUCCUGCUAUUCGAUUCCCAUGGGCAUCUCCGGGUCUUAGGCCGCCUCCUUGGAAAGAGAGCGGGAAUUCUCCUGUGUCGAGAUAUCCACCAAAUGGAACUGGUCCUGGUUGGCAUGUAUGGGGCAAUGGCCCCAUGCGACAUUGCCCCUGUCAACAUCAGCCUCCCUGACAACGGUUUAAAGCAUAUCCAGGAACCCGCUGGAGUGGAGGAGCAAUCGCCAUAUAUCUCUGCAUUUUGGGGCCGGGAUGAUUGAAAUACAUGAAGGAUCAAUUUCUAAGCAACCAGAAACUACAAUUUUUGAGGAAGUGGAGACAAUCCUUCUGCUGGAAUAUGUAACCAUGAUCAACACAUCAAUGAUGAUUCGGCUACUGGAACUUAUGAUAAUAAUAACGACACUGACUGGCACCUUGGCACAACCACAGACCUUCAGACCUCCAGCUGGAUAGCUUCCUCAAAUAAAGGAAUACUAUAUCCAAAGCGAGCAUGAGAAAUGAAAGAUUCAAAUGUUUUAACACGUAUUACAGAGCUGCUGCCCUCAUUCAAAAUAAGUUUAACAACAAUAUUAACAAGAGAGACUGACACAAUUAUACGUACUUGGCGAACACUGCUGAUACAAAUUUUAUCCUGCUUUAGAUAGAGGCAUUGACAAAUGUUAUAAAGCCUUAUUGAGGAGACAUUCAUCACUGUUUUAUAUGAUUUAAAAUAAAUUUUGAAUUUGUAUUAUGCAUUAGUCUGUCUAAAGCCCAUAGUGCUCCAUUUUCAUCUGAUACCAGCCCAAAGCUUGUAAUAAGUGAUCACGGAAUCGAUAAAGCUAAACCUAGAGUUAUCUAACCAUAUGGUUGACAGAAUUACUAUUAUAAUUGUUAUCGGUCAGUUAAAAUAUUUCACUAUAUACCGGUAUAUCUCAGCCAGGUCCUUUUGAGCGAUAUGGUAACCAGUUGUCAUUGAGAUGUUAUCACAUGUUUUCGUUGAGACACGACUUACGUUGAAACGUACCUCUGCCGGAGUGGAAAUACCUUCAACACAGUCAUUCCCGUAUAAACACUGUUUCUGUUUAAUCUCAUGUUGUACUUUAUAUAAAUG
rnacentral:lncRNA from 1 species